UACGGAGGGUGCAAGCGUUAUCCGGAUUCACUGGUUAAAGGGUGCGUAGGCGGGCAGGUAAGUCAGUGGUGAAAUCUCCGGGCUUAACCCGGAAACUGCCGUUGAUACUAUCUGUCUUGAAUAUCGUGGAGGUAAGCGGAAUAUGUCAUGUAGCGGUGAAAUGCUUAGAUAUGACAUAGAACACCGAUUGCGAAGGCAGCUUACUACACGAUCAUUGACGCUGAGGCACGAAAGCGUGGGGAGCAAACAGG
rnacentral:rRNA from 1 species